rnacentral:rRNA from 1 species
GUGCCAGCCGCCGCGGUAAUACGUAGGGGGCGAGCGUUGUCCGGAUUUACUGGGCGUAAAGCGCGUGUAGGUGGGAGAGCAAGUCCGGUGGGAAAGCCCGCGGCUCAACCGCGGAAGGACGCUGGAAACUGCUUUUCUUGAGGGUGAUAGAGGGAAGUGGAAUUGCUGGUGUAGCGGUGAAAUGCGUAGAUAUCAGCAGGAACACCCGUGGCGAAGGCGGCUUCCUGGAUCACCCCUGACGCUGAGACGCGAAAGCGUGGGGAGCGAACGGGAUUAGAUACCCUGGUAGUCC